GACCAUGCAAUCCUCAGCCCAGCAAACAGGCCUUCAGGGAAGAGCUGACGGUGUUCCUGAGGCUCAGAGCACCGGAUCCUGGCACCAGAUUGUUUAAGAAACCACUGCCUUCUCCUUUUAUAUUUCACAAGACUGUGACCACAGCUAGGUAGAGGACAAGACCACACCUCCUCUGAGGUAUGAAUUGGCUUUACCUAGUUCCGCCCUUAUUUUCCCUUUCACCUGCUUUCAUCAUAUGGAGUCCCCUUGCUGGCAAUUGCUAAGGUCACUCAGUCCCCAUGACGAGGAGGAAAAACUGCAAAUGCCAAGUAAAAUAGAAACCUAUAAAG